GUCACUAGUACGAGUCCUCACCAUCUGUGAGAGAAUAAAAAUGGAAAUUCAGUACACUAACCACUGCACGAUAGGAAGUGAACAAAGAGUAGUUUUUCCUAAUACCAUAUAGCCUCUUGAAGAUGUAUACAGACGUCUUCGUACCGAUCUACAAGUCUCUAUUAGUUUUGCCCGUAACACUAUGAGACCUAUGUGAACCUAGUGCUCUGAUACAAUGUUGUCACGGCCAAUUUCCAAAACCCAACAACCUUGCCGGGCCAGCCAACUGCGAAAUAUUACUAACAAUUCAUAUAGAGUUGUACUCAAUUUUAGGUGAAAUACCCAUUUAGUUUGGGUUUAGAACAAAAGAAGAUAAUACAGUGAAUAGCACAAUAUUACAUAACCCAAAAACCAGUCUACUAAAGUGUACGUACCAAGACCUAGUGUCAUAGUGUAAGGGCAUUUAGUAGAUUAUUCAUAUCUCUACCUACUGUCUAAAAUAAGGGAAAGACAGCAAAAAUAUAAAAGAAGACUCCAUCCAGCUGCUGAGCGAAGUGGAAAAGAAAGCAGUUCACCGUGGAAGUCUCUAUAGCCACUCACUGGCGCUCACCCUGAGGGUAUCCAAAUGAAUCAGCCUCAGACCCUGUACAUUUAAGUACAGAAGCGUAGCAUGAGUACAUAAACAAUUUGUACCCAGUAAGUAUCCCGUCUAAUCUCGGAGAAGUAGAGACGAGAGGUCGACUUGAUACUUACUAGGUCCAAGUAAUAUCAUAAUAAUGAUGUACAAUAUACUGCAUCAAUAAUGUAAUCAAAUAACAGUUACAACAGAAGUCAUAUCAUGCUCACAGUCAUAUUUCCUUUAUCAUAUUUCCUUCUUUCAUUCAUUUAGCAGCAAAUCAUGAAUAGUCUAGGCUCAAGCAUAAACAUGUAAAUCAUGCGCAACAACGCCGAGGUCGACGGCCCUCCCCAACAGAAUAUAAAUUUGUGCACUGCCGAGGGUCGAACGGCCAGUACCAUAGAUGCAUCUAUUUCACCGAGGCGAUCGACCCGAUCCACAAAUAUCAAGAUAAUAUCAAGAAUGAGCAAUAAGGCAUCAUAUAUAUACCAAGAAAAAUCCUUCCAAGUUCAUAAAUAAACAUAUGUUCAUUUUUCAUUCUCUUCUAGUCUCUAGCAUGUCAUAAAAGACCAUUCAUAUAGUUCAAACAAGGGAAAGUUCAAUGUAGGCAUGAUGUUGGUCCUAAACUACCCAAACAUUUAACAUUAUAGUAGAUACGCACGGACUCUCGUCACCUAGUACGUGCGUAGACCGCGCAUUUAACAGCAAUUUAUCAUUUAUUAGUCUUAAAGGGAUAGUUUCCUCUCACGAGGUUAGAAAGCAGACUCACCUCGCUCCAAACCGCACUUCUAAAUGCCAAGGACAAGCUCGAGCCCUCAAAGCGAAACCGAAAGUGCAAAAACUAGUUAAAUAAUGUGGGAAUUAGUCAAUAAUGGCUUACAAGGUUGAAUUCUAACUAUUUAAGUGGUUUCCCAACCUUUACCGCAAGCUUUCAAAUUUUCAACCCGGGGCCCACGUGCCUGAAUUCCGAGAUUUUUUGGAGGAAAAUAUUCUCUAAAACCUAAUGAUUACUAAUAUGUAAAUUUUGGUUCAUUACAUAGCUAAUUAGGUGGUCAAAUCAUAAUUUUAUCAAAACCCUAGUUCUAGCUCUAACCCUUGAUUUUUAUUUGAUUACUAGUGUUAAAUCUAUGUAAGGCUCAUGUAUUUAAGCUAAGAGUGAGUGUGGAUUACUUACCUCGUGAUAUUAGGAAGAAAAUCUCUCUUUAGGACCUUCAAAAUCGCUCAAAUGGUGUGAAAAUGAGAGAGAAGGAGCUUGGGUUCGUAUUUAAUGAAACCUUACUGUCCCUAGCGAUUUUUGCAUAUGGGGACAAAUUACCGCAUAUGUGGUGUCCGCUUCUGCGGAAUGACAACCGUUUUUGUGGUUUGGAAGCACUGUGGACCAGACCGCUUCUGUGGUCGAAUUCUCGCACAUGCGGGACCGCUUCUGCGGUCUCUUCCCCUUCUUGGCCUUCCUCUUCUGCGGCCAGAUGGCCGCUUAUGCGGUCACCGCUUCUGCGGUCAAAGAGCCACAGAAGCGGUUUUGGCAGAAGCAGUAACCUUGCUUCUUUACAAAAUUUGACUUCGCUCAAACCUCGACCAUUUGACGCUCGGGGCUCCCGUGCCCUGCCCGAACAUACCGACACGUCUGAUAUCACGAGAAAGACCUAAUCGAACCCUCGGAAUACCCAAAACAACGCUAAAUCAAGGAAUCGGACCUCAAGACCAAUUGAUCCAAUUUAAUGAACUUUAAGUUCUUAGUUUCCCUUCAACGGGUCAAAACGCCCUUAGACUAUUCAGAUUGACACCAAAUUUUACGGGUAAGUCUUAUAUAAUAUUUUGGACUUGUACCAAGUUUCGGAACCAGAAUCCGAACCCGAUACCUAGGUUUUUAAUAAAUACUUAGAUUCUUUAAUUCCUUAAAACUUCAAUUUAACAAUUUUACUUAAAAUUUCUGUACUCAGGCUAGGUACCUCGAAAUUCGAUUCCAAGCAUACGCCUAGGGCCCACAUUUUACCACGGACCUCCCAGGACCGUUGAAUCACGAAUCCAGGUUUGUUUCCCAAGUAAGUUGACCGAAGUCAAACUUGGUCUUUUAAGAAAACCUUAAGGGAAUAAUUGGUUUUAUUUUUACUCAAACUCUUCUAACCUUAAGGCGUGUGGAGUUCUAUUUAAGGAAACGGGGUUCCAAAUAGUAAAACGACCAGUCGGGCCUUUACAAGUAAAAAUUCUAGAAGAAGACAUAGUUGAGGAGAAGCAAAAAUGGAAUCGAGCAAUAAUUAUGUAUGUGGUUGGAAAUACUCCAACUAUAGGAGCUAUUGAACGAUUUGUUGCUGGUCAAUGGGGAAAAAUCAGGAAGUCUAAGGUACUAUUUCACAAUGAUGGAUACUUUAUAAUUCUGAUGCAAAAUCUAGAAGAAAGAGACAAGGUAUUGAUGAAUGGGCCUUAUACUAUGAAUAGUAGACCAAUAAUAUCAAAGCCAUGGACCUUAGGUUUUGAUUUCAGUGAAGAGGUGUUGAAAACUAUUCCUUUAUGGGUUAAACUCUCACUGAGUUAUUGGAGUAACCUAGCCCUGAGUAAAAUUGGGAGUGGAUUGGGGAAACUUCUUCAUGUUGAUGCCUGCACAACUAUGACUGAUAGGACCUCAUGUGGUUGGAUUCUAGUUGAAAUGGACAUCACAAGGAUUUACUAAGAAGAAUCAAACUGAUUGAUCCUACAUGCAAAGUUAUUCAGCAGCCGAUACAAUAUGAAUGGAAGCCUCAAUAUUGCUCAACCUACUGUUAAAUUAGCCACUCGUGUCACAAUCAGCAAAUACAGAAACAAGAGGGGCCCAACAAAACUAUAGAACAGGAACAUGUAUGGAAAGUUGUGAGGAAACUUGAUCCAAAGACUGGUAAAAUAGAUACAAGUGGAAGAUUUCUGGAGGAAGUGGAGGAGGAUGAAGAAGAGAUCCAAAAUAACAACCCAAAUAAAGAGCAAUGGCAAUUGGCAACAGGGAAUUCUGCUUCAAAGAAGAAUGUGGAUGGGAGAAAUGAGAAUGGAGUCAAUAUAGGUAAUGCAUUCAAAGCUUUGGUGGACACUGCACAAAAGAUAGGCCAAAUGACAAAGAAUCAAGACCAAGGUAGAGAGCUGUCUAGAGAUCGGGGCAGAGGGGGUACUAUGAAUCCAAGAUCCCUAAAACAAUGAACAUCAUAUCUUGGAAUGUUAGAGGAGUGAAUACAGAAUACAAGCAAAAAUAACUAAAAAAAUUUAUUAGAGGAAAUAAGGUAGUGUUAAUAGUUGUGUUAGAGAAUAGAGUUAAGGAAGCAAAGGAAGAGGAUGUAAUAAAGAAAGUGUUUAGUAGCUGGAGAUGGACAUCAAACUAUACGGCUAGUCCAUCUGGAAGAAUAUGGGUUGUUUGGGACCAGACAAGGAUAUAUUUUGAAAGUUAUGAUAUACACAAGCAAUACAUAAUAGUGCAGGUAACAGAAUUCCAGAAUGGCAAUAAAUUUAACAUUGGAGCCAUUUAUUGUAUGCAUACUAUUCAAGGUAGAAAAUUAUUAUAGGAAGAUAUGGGAAAAGUCAUAGCUGGUGUUAAUGGACCUUGGGUGUUAAUGAGGGACUAUAAUACUAUUUAAUCUAGUGAAGACGGGAUACAAGGAACCUAGUACAGGAAUUUGAAGUGAAAGAUUUUAAAGAGUUCAUUUGGGAGGCUAGACUAACUGAAUUGAGAACAGUUAAAAGGAAAUACACUUGGACAAACAAUCAUGUCCAUAGCAAGAUAGACAUAAUACUUGUCAAUGUUACAUGGAUCCAAAAAUGGUAUGUAAUAGAGGGAAGGAUGUUGCAACCUGGUUUUUGCUGAUCAUUGCCCUUUGAGCAUAUCAAUUGAUACUGACCAGAAUAAUGGAAAGAGACCUUUCACUUUUUUCAAUUGCUUGACUCAACAUAAAGAUUUUGAGGAUACUGUAUACAAAUGAUGGACAAAUAGGGGAGGUGGAACAACAAUGAACAAGGUGUGGAUGAAACUCAAAUACUAAAGACCAAACCGAAGCAAAUGAAUAAUCAAGAUCUUAUCAAUACAGAAUAAAGAAUUCUAGUAGCAAGAGCAAAGUUGGAAGGUAUCCAGGAACAAAUGGCUGGACCUGGAAAUAGCAAUGAAACUAUAGCUCAAGAAAAAGAGGCAAAGAUGGAGUUGGCUAAACGGCUUGAAAUUGAGGAAAGUAUAAUGAAUCAGAAAUCAAGGAUUAAAUGUCUUAACUUGGGGGAUUCAAAUACAAUAUAUUUUCAUGCAUGUGUUAAGAAUAGAAAAGCAACUAAUCACAUUGGAAGAUUGACAGAUAGUACAUGGAAACUACUCUUGAAUGCUAAUGAUGUGGAGGCAGAAAUACUUAAGUUCUACAAGCAGCUACUUAGAAUAGCAACAACUCAAAUACCGGUAGUUAAUACAGAAGUUAUGCAGCAAGGCUACAACCUAAGGAGAAAACAACAAAUGAAGUUAAUACGAGUAGUAACUGAAGAUGAAGUCAAGCAAGCAUUACAGGGCAUUAAUGACAACAAAGCACCAGGAUGUGAUAGAUACACUACAUUCUUCUUUAAGAAAGCAUGUCAUACUACAGGGAAAGAGGUGACUCAAGCUCUGAUGGAGUUUUUUGAGGAAUAUGUAAUGUACAAACCAAACAACUGUACAACUAUUACCUUAAUACAAAAAGUGAAGAACCCCAGUAGUAUCAAAGAAUUCAGACCUAUCUCAUAAUGUACUAUGUUAUAUAAAAUUAUCUCCAAGAUACUAACAUCUAGACUGCAGGAAGUCAUGCCAGAUUUGAUUGACAAUUAUCAAACAACUUUUAUGCCGGGAAGAUUGAUCACAGAUAAUAUCACAAUGAGCCAUGAACUGGUCAAAGGCUAUGUGUGGAAGAAUAUAUCACCUAGGUGUAUGUUGAAGAUUGAUAUGCAAAAGGCCUAUUGUUCUGUGGAAUGAGUAUUUGUUGAACAGGUGAUGAGGCUAUUAGGAUUUCCAGAAAAAUAUGUAAGAUGGGUAAUGGUCUGUAUCAGUACUGUCUCAUAUUCAAUUAUUGUCAAUGGGAAGCGAGUCAAACAUUUGAAGCCAAAAGAGGAUUAAGACAGGGAGAUUCCCUCUCACCAUUGCUAUUUGUAAUUGCUAUGGAGUACCUAAGUAGGCUAAUGAAGCAACUUGGAAACAACAAAGAAUUCAGAUUUCAUCCGAGGUGUGCUAAAAUAAAACUAAUAUAAUUGGGAUUUGCUGAUGAUCUGUUGUUAUUUUGUAAGGGAAAUGUGCAGUCUGUUAUGGCAUUGCAUAAACAAUUCCAAAUAUUUUCUGCAGAUUCUGGGUUAGUGGCAAACACAAGUAAAAGCAACGUAUAUUUUGGUGGGAGAGAAAGCAGGACACAACUGAAGAUAAUGGAAGUGCUAGGAUACACUAAAGGUGAUCUACCUUUUAGAUACCUUGGUGUUCCCUUGAGUACAAAAAGAUUGUCAACAAUUCAAUGUGAACCUCUGAUUGAUAAAAUGCUUAAUAGAAUUCAAUGCUGAAUAACCAAGUUUCUAUCAUAUGCAAGAAGAGCAACACUGAUUAAAAGUGUGUUGGGAACAAUUCAGAACUUUUAGGCCCAAGUAUUCAUUCUGCCAAAGAAAAUUAUACAAUUCAUUGAGCCAAUAUGUAGAAGGUUUUAUGGUCAGGCAGUGCUGAACCAACAAAGAAAGUUUUAAUAGUGUGGGACAAACUAUGCGCACCUAAGAUAGCAGGGGGAUUAAACUUCACAAAUAUAAAACUACGGAAUAAAGCUUCUAUUUGUAAGCUGCUUUGGAACGUUUGCUAGAAGAAAGAGAAGUUGUGGGUGCUGUGGGUUCAUACAUAUUAUAUAAAAAAUAACAAUAUAUGGGAUACUGAACCAAAAAAUACCUCCUGGGUGAUCCAGAAAAUAUUCAAGGCCAAGGAACAUUUCCAAGAGACUAGAUAUUCAGAGGAUGAUUAUCACGCAUCCUUUUUCAUUACACCUGCAAGGGGUAAAUAGAGUUUUUUCAAUUAAAAAACAAUCGAAACGGAAUUAUUAUUAAUGAAUCAGAAUCGUCACUGGGAGAUUUAGAGUGUCCCAGGUCACAGGUUUAAUCCCGAACCGAGGAAAAUAUUGACUAUGUUUAACAGUCCGCGCACCAGAAAUCCGGAAAAGGAAUUCUGUUAACUUGGGAGAAGGUGUUAGGCAUUCCCGAGUUCCGUGGUUCUAGCACGGUCACUCAACUGUUAUAUUCGGCUUAAUUAUAUAAUUUUUAACAAUUAAGAACAUAUGUGCAAAUUUUAACUUUUAGCCGCUUUUAUUAUUCUUAUUAUUAUUUUAACAAAGAAUUGCAACGUUGUGAAAACGUAUCUCGAACCACGUCACAGUCAAUGUACCCGUGGUUAUCGACACAUCUCGACUCCGUUGAGAUUUGGAUUUGGGUCACAUAAAUGUGACCCCGUAUUUAGGGAGGUAAUAUUAUUAAAAUGCGCGCCUAAUGAGUCUAACGCGUUAUUGUUUCGGGGAAAGCCGUGCAAUUAGCUAAACGGUUCAUCCCGGAGUCUAAGUAUUUUUAAUAUAUAUAUUUAUGAGGGCCCCACAAUUUAUACAAUUUUGUUGGGCGAGGCACACCUCUAAUUCUAAUUUAAAAACGAAGUACAUUCCGCUUUAAUUAUUUAAAGAGUUAAUUCAAGGUUAUUUAAAACAUAUUGCAAACCACGCUACAUAAAAUGUAUUCGUAGUUUAUGACACCCUUUAUUUAACCUUGUCCAAAAUUGGAGCCGAGUCACAUGAAAUGUACCCUGGUUCCUUUAAUCUAAGCUAACACAACUAAAGGGUUCAUGCCAUUAUAAUCAAUUCAACAUUCCUUUAAUAUGAACAAACACUCAAAUUUUAUGAAUAAUCUUAUCACAAGUUAAAUCUUAAGUCGUUCAUAUAACCUUCGCCUCUCUUUAACUUUCAAAUUCAUUAAGUUCUAAAUAAAGAAAAAUCUACUAAAAAUUAAGAUAUCAUGCUGCCUUAAGAAUUAUUUUCUUUUUCAAAAAAAAAAAACAUUUCACAACUCCACUGCCCAGUCACACUCGUUCUUUUAACGGGCAGUCAUCAAGAAAACAAAACCAUUAAUCACACCAUGGUUCAUGAAUAACACAUAUUUGCAUGAAUAAUCAAGGACAAAACUAGACAAGAGGGGUUGCUCUGAUGGUAAAUAACCUCUACUUCUAACUGAUAGGUUGUGACUUUGAGUCGGGUAGGGAUAAGGUUUGCGUACACACUAUCAUUCUCAGACCCCACUAAUGGAAUUAUACUGGGUUGUUAUUGUUGUUGUAAUCGAGCAGAAAACUCAAAAUAUAGAUAAUGACAUAAACAAAGAUCACAUGUAAACCAAACAUCUAACAACAUUAUAAACCAAAAAUGAUGUCAAUUCAUUACGCAUCCAAAGAAGAAGAUCACAGGAACAUUGUACCUUCAAUGGUCUUCAACGAUUUUUAUUUGAGAAUGCAAGUAAAAGCCGGCAACCGGGGACCUCAACGGAAAUCAAAAGAGACCGGAAUGGUCGAGCUAUGAACGGAAACCUCAGAUUACAACUUUCAACGACCUCAAGAUUCGUCGGAACACUCGGACUGAACCUUAGACAAACUGAAACGAAGCAACAACAACAACAGGUGGAGAUGGGUAGUGCUGCUAUCGUUUGAGGUCGUGUGUGGUGGUUCGAUGGGACUGGCUGAGCUGGGCGCUGGAGGAGGCGGGCUGACUGGUGGCGUGUUGUGGUCGGAGAGAGCUGGACGGAAAUGGUUGCUUGGAGACGGAAGGGGUGGUGUUUGGAUAUGAGAGCUGGUCGUCGGGCAGUAGGACGACGGGAACGACUGGAGUGUCGUUUGGGCAGUAGCUAGCUAGAAGCGUGACUGGCUGGGACGACGAAGAAGAUGAGCUGGUCGACGGAAAUUGGCGACGACGAAAUAGAGGGCUGCUCGGGUCGUUUGGCUUCGUUGCUUCUUCUUCAAAUCAAAAUCUCCAAAUCCUAAUGUCUCCUCUCGAUAUAUCUCCGUCAACUUUUUUACCCCCAAUAAUCAAGUCCUAGUUAUGUCCGUGCGUUC
rnacentral:lncRNA from 1 species